CAUGGUACCUAAAUUAAUUUGUUUUCUUUCAAUUUGUAAUUGGAUAUGGUGUAACAUAGUGACCCACCAGUUUCUGGUUGGCUUUUGUCUUCAACUUUGGAUUGCCAUUCUGAAAGCAUUAGUAACCAACUUUGACUGAGAUUGUUAUUGUAAACAAAUAUAAAUUACUAUAAACUAAUUAUAAGGAUUUUAUUUACAAAUUAAACAGUUUUAUUUUCUCACCAAUACAUAGGAUAUUUUGAUAAGUUCCUCAGUGCCACGUAUUUCAAAUAAAAUUAUGAUAGUCACUGCUGUAUGUUUAUUUGUUAUUGCUACCUAUUAAUCAUUUCAAAUUGACAAAAAAUAAUUUGUUCCCCUAAUUAAACAAUUCAACAAUAUAAUAAAUUUAUAAAAAUUAUAUAAAGUGGUCGUAUUACGUAAAAAUAAUUUAUUUAAAUAGGAGUGAUUACUUAA